AAUAAAAAAGAAUGAAAAAAAUAAAAUAGAAAAUGAUAAAAAGGUAAAAAAAACACAAAAACAAGAAAAGAAACCCUUGAUCUCACACUUAACAAUCUCACUAUAUCACCAAUUGAGUUAUCUCAUUCAUUCGAAAUGAAAAGUUCUUUAAAAAGAUAAAAAGGGAAAUCGGGCAAAAUUUUGGGUAUAACACCGUCGAUACUCACUUGGCCACUCCAUGGAGAAACAUUGUAUAUAUACCUAGCAGUCCCAAAGGAGGC
rnacentral:lncRNA from 1 species